ensembl:lncRNA
AAUCGGACACUGAUGACCUUUCUGGGAAAGGUGAUUUCCAGGGCCCAGAGGCUGAAUCCCUGAACCACAAAGGAGGAGGAGAGCAACAACAACAGCACGUGCAGGCCCAGCAGAUCAACGGCCUGGCUCCACUAUCAGUCAGGCCACCUGACACGCAGCCUGUAGUGCCUCUUGUGGCAGAAGACCAGGACUGCAGUUACCACUACACUGACACCAGCCAGACUCAGCUUCAGCAGCAUUCCUCCCCUCAGCAGCCAACACUGAGCUGUCCUACAUCAAACAGGGAAGGUGGGAUGAUGAAGGAGGGCCCUGGUUUUUGUUUAGCACACUCACUCAGAUUUCUAGUGAUUUCAUAAACAACUUAUUUGAUUUGCUCAUUUCAUUUAUCUCUUUGUGACUUAUUUUGUGAAUCUUCUUACAUGUUGGUGCUUACUGUAAUAUUGGAAACCUCAUACUUUGAUUGGACUGUGUUCUAGGGGCGGAGCAUUCUUCUGGGCUGGGCAUGGUGAGUCCUAAAGAGUUUUGUUGGGUACCAAACCUACAUUUCAUGUUAUACACAAACACAUCCAAAUAAGCCAACGUUUACUUUAAUCUUUGUAGCUAAAGAUUUUCAGUCUGGAUCCCUGGCUGGUUGUGUAAGUGGUAUUAUAUUUGCUAUGUGAGACUUUUUUUUUUGUCUACAUGUACAAGCUCAAUUUCAUCUAUUGUCCAUCUAAAUAAAUAAACAUAUAAUUAAAUAAUUAAAUCAAUUUAUAUCAAUGGUGUGAGGAGAGUAUUUGUGAGACUCAAAUGAGUCAGAUUGCUGCCAGUCUGAGGACACAUACUGUAGACCAUGUGUCUGCCUGUGUUGAUGGACAUCUCAACUGACCUAUCUGUCCCAUGCAGACUGGGAUACAUUUUAAUUCUGGGAUGAUGGCAGGGGAUGUUCAGCAAUCUGGUCAGACGUAUGAUUAUGUAGGCAAGCCUGCAUGGCACCAGGGAGGGCACCGGUCCACCAUCACGCAGGAGGGCAAGGCCUUAGAGCCGGACCAAAUCCAACCAAAACAGGUGGGUGGAGCCUGAAGCCGUCAUGUUGUCAGCUUCGGAUACUAACUUUCAAUAAGGCUCGCACACUGUUUUCUCUCUCUGCUUUCUUUCACCCCCCUCUUUCUCUCUCUCUGUCACUGUUUUCUCUCUCUGUCUCUGAUCAGAGCACCAAGUCAGGGUGGUUUAGUAGCUGGUUCAAACCCAAACCCAAAGAGGAACAAAGUGUUGCGUCUCUGGAUGACGACUCAGCAGAACCAGUUCCCACUAUGGAGGCUCCUCCCACCCUAUGUUCUUUCCCUCCCCCACCUACUAUCAACACCCUUGCAGCUAAUUGUCCCACACAGCCUACAUCUGCUGGGAUCAACCCCUUUUCUCGAAAAGCAGGUCCUCAGCUGGGAUAAACAAAAGGAUUGUCACUUAUGGGCAAUAUAUUUGAG